CCUGUAACCAAACCGCUGCAGGGACUGUAGAAGCCUUUUCCCUCCUCCCUUUCCACUAGACAACCGAAAGAGCGAUACAUUCCAACUACUCAAACAGAAGGGGGUCAUGAGCAGGAUACACACAAAAUGUGAAACAAUGGCUCAAUUAAAAGCAGCAAAAAUAAUCUCAUAAUUCAAAGAAGCCUCAAGAGUCUGAUCCUCUUCCAUCUGCCAAUCAGUCAAAAUUACUUAAUUGAACUGAAGAAUUAGAGGCUCUGAAGAACAGGAGGAUGACAACCAAUAAAUCUUUCCAUGUUUAAACAAGCUUUCUGCCAAUUGUCCCACAGCAGUAACUCAAAAGCAUCUAAAUUCCGAAAGCUUAUUCGCUGCAGUAUGUUUUCCUUAAGGAAAUCUGCUAAGUUUAAAAUCCAUUUUCUAUGACAUCUGAAACACUAACUGUAAUCAAGUUGCCAGCUGCAUAGCGACACAGAUUUGUAGAUAUCCACAAAAGGGGAUGCAUGCAGCUAACUUUCUGUAUUAGGGUUUUAAAAACACUACUUCCGUGUGCUGUGUAACAUAAGAAGCAAGUAUGGAUUUUUCCCUCUUUUUCCCCUCUUUAUUUUUUAUUUUCCUUUUGGUGGAGGGAACAGCUAUAAAGUAAGAAAAAUCUGCACUGAAUGUAAAUACGAAUUAGGAUAUUUAAAACACAGGUAAAAAAAUUUAAGUGAUACACGUCAAUUUGUCAGUUCUUAACUUAGAUAUGCUGCAUGAAAACAACAUGCCUUCAAAUUUACUAUUUCACAUGUAUCUGAAGCUUGCUUGUUUUUAUAUUCAGACCACCUGAUACAGUAAAAUAAACAGUU